rnacentral:rRNA from 1 species
UACGGAGGGGGCUAGCGUUGUUCGGAAUUACUGGGCGUAAAGCGCGCGUAGGCGGACCUGCAAGUCGGGGGUGAAAGCCCGAGGCUCAACCUCGGAACUGCCUUCGAUACUGCGGGUCUCGAGUCCGGGAGAGGUGAGUGGAAUUCCUAGUGUAGAAGGUGAAAUUCGUAGAUAUUCGCAAGAACACCAGUGGCGAAGGCGGCUCACUGGCCCGGUACUGACGCUGAGGUGCGAAAGCGUGGGGAGCAAACAGG